UACGAAGGGGGGCUAGCGUUGUUCGGAAUUACUGGGCGUAAAGGGCGCGUAGGCGGAUAGUUUAGUCAGAGGUAAAAGCCCAGGGCUCAACCUUGGAACUGCCUUUGAUACUGGCUAUCUUGAGUUCGGGAGAGGUGAGUGGAAUGCCGAGUGUAGAGGUGAAAUUCGUAGAUAUUCGGCGGAACACCAGUGGCGAAGGCGACUCACUGGCCCGAUACUGACGCUGAGGCGCGAAAGCGUGGGGAGCAAACAGGG
rnacentral:rRNA from 1 species